rnacentral:rRNA from 1 species
UACAGAGGGUGCAAGCGUUAAUCGGAAUUACUGGGCGUAAAGCGCGCGUAGGUGGUUUGUUAAGUUGAAUGUGAAAUCCCCGGGCUCAACCUGGGAACUGCAUCCAAAACUGGCAAGCUAGAGUAGGGCAGAGGGUGGUGGAAUUUCCUGUGUAGCGGUGAAAUGCGUAGAUAUAAGGAAGGAACACCAGUGGCGAAGGCGACCACCUGGGCGUCAUACUGACACUGGAGGUGACGAAAGCGUGGGGAGCAAACAGG